rnacentral:lncRNA from 1 species
AUUAUUGACUUACAUGGGACCUAAACCACUUUGCAAAUCCUUGUUCAACAAUUCUAUCAACCUCAUUAGGAUGUGCACCUUGCUGCACUAGCUCAUUCCUGUACAGGCUAUACGGAAAACUCCAUUCAUAAGAAAAAUUUGCAAGAUCUAAUAAAUAAAACACAAAAUAAAUCUGAAACAAGUUAAAAAUACUUACUCCAAAUAAUCCUCUACUUCUUCAGCAUUAUGUAGCACAUACCAAACUAACUUAUUCAUGACAGCAGCAUCAAUGUACUGGGUCCUAUUAGCUCCAACAAGAGUAGCACC